rnacentral:rRNA from 1 species
AUUGAACGCUGGCGGCAGGCUUAACACAUGCAAGUCGAGCGGAGCGAGGGUGCUUGCAUCUUAGCUUAGCGGCGGACGUGUGAGUAAUGCUUAGGAAUCUGCCUAUUAGUGGGGGACAACAUUCCGAAAGGAAUGCUACUACCGCAUACGCCCUCCGGGGGAACGCAGUGGAUCUUCGUACCUUGCGCUAAUAGAUGAGCCUAAGUCGGAUUAGCUAGUUGGUGGGGUAAAGGCCUACCAAGGCGACGAUCUGUAGCGGGUCUGAGAGGAUGAUCCGCCACACUGGGACUGAGACACGGCCCAGACUCCUACGGGAGGCAGCAGUGGGGAAUAUUUGACAAUGGGCGGAAGCCUGAUCCAGACAUGCCGCGUGUGUGAAGAAGGCCUUUUGGUUGUAAAGCACUUUAAGCGAGGAGGAGGCUACUUAGAUUAAUACUCUGGGAUAGUGGACGUUACUCGCAGAAUAAGCACCGGCUAACUCUGUGCCAGCAGCCGCGGUAA